UACAGAGGUCCCAAGCGUUGUUCGGAUUCAUUGGGCGUAAAGGGUGCGUAGGUGGCGCCGUAAGUCAGGUGUGAAAUCUCGGGGCUUAACUCCGAAACUGCAUUUGAUACUGCGGUGCUUUGAGGACUGGAGAGGAGACUGGAAUUUACGGUGUAGCAGUGAAAUGCGUAGAGAUCGUAAGGAAGACCAGUGGCGAAGGCGGGUCUCUGGACAGUUCCUGACACUGAGGCACGAAGGCCAGGGGGAGCAAACGGG
rnacentral:rRNA from 1 species